UACGUAGGGUGCAAGCGUUGUCCGGAAUUAUUGGGCGUAAAGAGCUCGUAGGCGGUUUGUUGCGUCGGCUGUGAAAUCCCGAGGCUCAACCUCGGGUCUGCAGUCGAUACGAGCAAACUAGAGUGUUGCAGGGGAGACUGGAAUUCCUGGUGUAGUGGUGAAAUGCGUAGAGAUCGGCAGGAACACCCAGGGGGAAACCAGUGGACUGGGCAGGAGCUGACGCUCAGGUGCGAAAGCGUGGGGAGCGAACCGG
rnacentral:rRNA from 1 species